UUUUCAAGAGUGAAGGGACUAGUCACAGUGGUAUGUGCAGGGUUAAGGGAACCACAGCAAGAUCCAAUGCCACAUCCAGACCUGAAGGAGCUAGUGUUGCAGGAACACAGACAGCUGCAGUCCUGGAAGCGGUGGUGAUGUCCAGAGGACUCGUGGCUUUUGCGGAAGGAAAUCAGAACCAAAGCAAUGUGGCUGCCUGAGUGCUCUCAGAACAGGACACCCAGAGCCUCUGACUGGUUGAUCUGAGAGGCCACGGAGGGAGCUGUAGUACCUUUUGUGACUUAUACUUGUAAGUCACACAGGACAGACAAGCUGCAGAAGAUUGCUGACUCCCAAUUACUGAUACCAGGGAGACAAGAGCUCACAGUGCGAGAAACAUGUCUUCAUGAGCACCAUGGAGUUACUCCAGUUGAUGGAUCCAAACACAGUGGCAGCCUCAGGGUCAACACACCCAUCUAUCCGUGCAAGGAUAAGUUUCUCCCCCUCAGUCCCCAAAGGCACCUGUAAAUGAACCACUUUCCAGGCACCAAGUGGGGAGAAACCAAUCCCUCAGGGUAUGAAGCAGUUUCCUUUGGGUGAGGGAGACAGUCUAGUAUCAAAAGGUACGACCUGAUGCCAUGGCCACAGAUUCAUCGCUAGACACCAGAGACACAGAGGUCCUCGCCAGCAACCCUUCACCUCAACA